rnacentral:rRNA from 1 species
UACGAAGGGGGCUAGCGUUGUUCGGAAUCACUGGGCGUAAAGCGCGCGUAGGCGGCUAUUCAAGUCAGAGGUGAAAUCCCAGAGCUCAACUUUGGAACUGCCUUUGAAACUGUAUAGCUGGAGUGUUGGAGGGGAUAGCGGAAUUCCUAGUGUAGAGGUGAAAUUCGUAGAUACUAGGAGGAACACCGGUGGCGAAGGCGGCUAUCUGGACAACAACUGACGCUGAGGCGCGAAAGCGUGGGUAUCAAACAGG